GCAGCCGCGGUAAUACGUAGGUGGCAAGCGUUGUCCGGAUUUACUGGGUGUAAAGGGCGUGUAGGCGGGACUUUAGGUCAGAUGUGAAAUACCGAGGCUUAACCUCGGAGCUGCAUUUGAAACCGGAGUUCUUGAGUGCCGGAGAGGAAAGCGGAAUUCCUAGUGUAGCGGUGAAAUGCGUAGAUAUUAGGAGGAACACCAGUGGCGAAGGCGGCUUUCUGGACGGUAACUGACGCUGAGGCGCGAAAGCGUGGGGAGCAAACAGGAUUAGAUACCCC
rnacentral:rRNA from 1 species